UCUCCGUUGGUGAACCAGCGGAGGGAUCAUUACUGAGUUACCGCUCUACAACCCUUUGUGAACAUACCUAAAUGUUGCUUCGGCGGGCAGAGGUCCCUCCCUGAUCUCUCACGGCAACGCCCUCACGGGCGGAGCGCCCGACGGAGGCUACCAAACUCUAUUUUAACGACGUUUUUUCUGAGUGGCACAAGCAAAUAAUUAAAACUUUUAACAACGGAUCUCUUGGUUCUG
rnacentral:misc_RNA from 1 species